rnacentral:lncRNA from 10 species
UUAACAACCAGCUUAUAACAUUCCUGAUAUUUAAGUGGCUCUCAGGAGGCAAUACUUUCACACAUCACAACCACCUCCACUUCCCCAUACCUUCCCUUCCACCUUCCACCCUGAGGAAUCAGCCAGCCUGAAGGAGUGGGGCAGAGAGCAGAAGCCUGCCCUUCCAUAACAGAUCUGCGGCUGGGAGGGAGAGGAGAAGGGACUUCUCCUAGAAUGGAAAUGGUGUGCUGAUUCAUACCUUGGACUAGACAUUUAGAAAUUUGAGACUUCUUGUGACUUAAACUGCCUGUUCUACCAGAAUGAGGAAACGGAGGCUCAGGGAAAUUAAAUGGCUUGACCAAAAUUCAUGUGUAAGUGUCAGCAAGUGCCUAUACUGGGAUUUGAACCUAAGUCUGUCUGACUCCAAAUCGGCAGUCCUAAGCUAUUGCUCCACUUCCCUGCUUUGUACACCAGAAAGGUAAGAGACACAAAUGGGGCUAUUUGAAAAACAAACAGCAGGAUGAACAACUAGUUGAUAUGCCCCUUCAAGGCCCAAAUGAAGAGCAUGAUUGGACCAGACUGUGUGGAAGAGGACAAAGAGGUAGGAGCAAGAAAGAGGAGCCUCUGGAUGAGCAGAAGCCAGUAAAGGGACACCAAUGGCACAUAUCCAUCUUCCAACUAAAGCAUUACAGGCUAACUCUUUUUUUCCAUCAUUGAGCAAGUUGCUUUGACCCACACACUCCCUAAAAACACUGCAGCAGCAUCAUACCACACAGUGGAAGAAAUCUCAUCCCAAAUAUGCACAUAGAUAACCAGAGAGACUACUGGUUAUCCACUUGGUGACCUGGCCAACUGGCAACUGAACUGGAAAAACAUCUGCUGACCUAAAAACUACUCUACCAGGCAACUUUCUCUCAAUGAGUUCCCUGUAAAACAUUCUCUGUUAACCUACUCAUUAGUAUAAGAGUGAGUCUUUGGGAAAAGAUGUACCUGGACUCAAGUCCAGGCUCUAACACCUACUGACUCUGUGACCUUGAACAAGAUUCGUAUGUGUGCUAGGCAUCAUUUGUAAUGCAUGCAUAAUAAUUCUAUCCUAGGAUUACAGGGAGGAUUAACUGAGAUGAUACAUGAGAAACAGUCCAGUGCUUGGGCUCUAAUAAGUGCUCAAACAGAUUAGCUGUUGUUACUUAAAAAUUAUGGCAAGUAAAGCCCUUUAUAAGCUCUUCAAAGCAGUCAAAGAUAUCCAUUUUUACUUUACUAGUGAAAUCAGCAAUGUGAUUCUUAUAUUAGAGAUAUAAAAAUCUGGCAUUUAGGGCAUUUGCAUUAGACAAGUAUAUUUUUGCUUGGAGUAGCACUAUGUAUUCAUGUGAGAUAAAGAACUAUCUAGAUUGCCAUAUAUUGGAACUCCAGUAACCAAAUCCUAUAGCUGCUGUGGUCUAGGGUGGCUGGCUACCCUUGCUAAUUUAAACAUUUUCUCUCAGGCUAUUGGUUUCCUUCUGGCUUCCUGUGAUGCUAUCUCAGACACAAUUGCAACCAGGUUUGCGGUGCGGUUUAAUGACACAUUUCAUGAGGUUUUGUUUUGGUGUUGCUCUGUCAAAAUGAUGUGGGGGAUAAGGGAGUGCAAUCUAUUGCAGCUGUUUGUUAUCACUCAGAUAAGCCUGAGAAGCUUCCCAAUUAACCUUAGUGUGUCAUAAAGCCAAUCAGUACAUGAAAACAAGAAUUUCUCAUUUACUGAAAUGAUAUUUGCCUUGUAAUUGCUGUCUGGGAAUGUUGAACCAAGUAGAAAACAUUAAGGAAACUGCACUCCUCCCCACAAAUUUAAGCUUGGUGAUUGUUAAAAAUAAAAAUAAAAAAGACCAAGAAUACUGUAGUCCCAGCUACUUAGGAGGCUGAGACAGGAGAAUUGUUUGAACCCGGGAGGUGGAGGUUGCAGUGAGCCGAGAUCAUGCCACUGCACACCAGCCUGGGCGACAGAGCAAGACUCCAUCUCAAAAAAAAAAGACCAAGAAUAUUAUUUGGUAGUCUAGCUGUUUUGUCCUGGUUUCAAGGCACCACAUGUCUUUUGAUGUAAAAUAAUAUACUAAAACAUGCUUACAGCUUAAAACCUGAAAUAAAUUUGUGGAGUAUAUUAAUGUUUUCAUCAAUCCUGGUAAUGAGGUAUAAGAAAUUAAUUUGGAAAAUGUAUUUUCCUUACAUAAAUUUUGGUCUUUUCAGAGAAAGAAAACAAAGUAAAAGAAAUGCAGCCUUUAUACGAAUAAGGGAUGUAUCACACAGCACCAUAAAAAUUAAUAAGGCAAUUGUCCAAUCACUAGAUGCCAUUUUUUGAGGUCUUAUUGUGUACCUAUCAGUGUACAUAGUCUGGAUGGACAAUAUAAGAUUAAGGGUAAGAGGACUAACAUCAUUCCUUUUGUGUCUAGUAGGCCCUCAAAUAUUUAUUGAGAUGAACUGAGUUUAACUGAAUUGAGCUAAAUUUACUUGAAUGAGCACAAUGAGACGUUGCCACUAUACUAAAAUCUACAGUCUAGCCAUGGAAUUAAAGUAUGUAUAUAUGCGUGACAUUUUUUAAAAUACAGCCAGUAAAUAAAAACAUGCAACUAUCAUUUUUUUAUUUUAAAAUAACUGUAGACACAUAGGAAGUCAGAAAAAGAGUUCACAGAGUCCAGUGAACUCUUACCCAAGCUUCCAAGCUACCAUUUUCCAUUACUGUAGUACAAUAUCAAAACCAGGAAGUUGACAUUUGCACAAUAAUGCUAACUAGACUACAGGCUUCAUUCAGUUUUCAGCAGUUUUUACCUGCCACUCAGUUGGGGAGAGGGGGCAUUAUGUGUGGGGGUAUGAACAAGUAAGUGUGAGUAAGUAUAGUCUUUUGCAAAAUUGAAUCCCCUGUAUGGAUUCCUGUAACCACCAUCACAAUCAGGAUACAGAAUGGUUCUAUUGCCAUAAAGCAAUGAGCAGGGCCUACCCCUUUGUACUCACACCACCUUCUUCACUGUCUCCUGGUAACCACUAAUCUGUUCUCUAUUUCUAUCAUUUUGUCAUUUCAAGAAUGUUAUAUAAAUAGAAUCAUAUAGUAUGCAAACUUUUGAGAUUGGUUUUUUCACUAAGCAUAAUGCCCAUGAAAUCCCUCCAAGUUGUUGCAUGUGCCAAUCAUUUGUUCAUCUUAUUGCUGAAGAGUAUUCCAUGAUAUAGACACACCAGUUUGUUUAACCAUUUACCCAUUAAAGGACAUUUGUGUUAUUUCCAAUUUUUGGUUAUUACAGUUUAGCUGCUAUGAGCAUUCAUGUACUAUUUUUUUGCCAACCUACAUUUUCAUUUCUCCGGGAUAAAUGCCAGGAGUGCAAAUGCUGGGUGUCAGGCUGAACACCUAUUAACCUCAAUAGAGAUGGCACCAGG